AGAUGUGCGUCCCUCAGGAAGAAAAGAAAAGAGGCAGAUCGCCUCUCUUGGAUAGAACAGAAAAGAAAAGGAAAAAGAAAGGAGGAGUGAGCUCUUAGUCCCACAAGAAGAAAAAUUGUGAUCUACGAAGAUCAAACGGUCGAAUCUUCAAUCCGUUUUCGGAAACAUGAUUCUUGCACUCGGAUCUACGUUCUUACCGAUUGUUUUAAGGUAUUUGAGCUUAUUGGAGCUUACUUGAGGCAACCCAAACUUUGGGUUGAGGUUUGGUGAAUUUGGGCACACCUGACUUAGAGGAGGACCUCGUAGCUGCGUAUUUGGGAUAUUACGAUUGAAGCACACCGCGACAAUCAUAAUGAGUUGGACUAUGGAGUUCACUCUUUUGGGGUAUUUUGUAUAUGGCUAGUGACAUAGGUGUCACAUAUUCUUUUGUGUAGCCAUUCUUUUGUAUUAGUGGAUAAUUGUAAGCCUUAAACAAUUAGACAGAUAUAUGGCUCUUUUGUAUGGACCACAUGUAUUUUUAGAUACGCUUUCUGUUAUGAGUUUUAGUGUUAUAAUUA